UGUUCCUCUUCUAAAAUGGUCCUUGUCUAAUAUUUUUUCACAGACAAAUGAGGCCUAGAAGGAUUUGUCCUGAAAAGGAUGCGUUGCACUUCAUUGUUUCUGGAAAUGACAAAGAAUUUUUCAGAAGAAACUGAUCGGCAAAGAGAAAGGUAUGUUUUAGUUUAAAGAGCAAAUUGCAGGUAAAUUUUUUUUCUAAUUCAUAUAAAAUAUUGUCCAAAAAAUACUACUUUAAAUGUUUAUUGUAGGUAUUUCAUUUUAAAAUACAAAACAAAACAGAUUUGAGUAAAAAGUGGCCUUUUUUAGCAAAGCUUUUAAAAACACUAUUUUUUUUGUCUUAGCCUCUGACGUAAUUUAAGGGAGUUCUAAGCUAGGUUCUGCCUCAGCUCAGUGUAAAGCGUGCAAUUUUAGGUUAGAGAGGUCGUGUUAUCGAGGUAGUGUGUGUUCAUUAGUUUAUGAUUGUGUUAAUUUUGAUAAACUAUUGUUUGUGAAGCCUGUAAAAAUUCCAGCCUCUGCACAUAUGACAUCCACAAGUUUCCAAAUAAGUACAACAUGCCUUUAUCUCCAUGCCUGGGGGUGUGUUGUGCGACUGAAAAGAUGGGACUUCUGGAACCCAAAUUGGUGUCGAUACCAACUCAUGGAGGUCAGCGCUGGCCUCCAGAGACCUGUGGCGAAGUUUUAAAAAAUUUAUUGCGGAUUUCUAGAACUCAGAUCAUUGUAAGAACAAGAUCAGAACCGCCGUGUGGACCUCCAGGAGAGGAUGUGCUGCUGUUAAAAAUACCAGCGAGCCAGUCGAGCCGUUUUUGGGUUGGAUCCAGCUCAGAGCAGCGCACAGAACCUCCAGAACCGGAUCACAGGUUCCUCUGUGUCAGAGCCAUAUUAGAAUCCAGGUUUGUCUCUGGAUUAAGCUAACAGGACUCCCUUCGCUUGCGUCACGUUGGUUUGGCAGAAAAAAAAACAUUUUCCUCACAUAAAUGACUCUAAAUGCUUAAAUAAUUAAUGUAUGUGUAAAAAAUUUUUUAAACAAGUUUCUCUUAUGUUUCUCUGAACAUUGGUUCAUGGGUGUCUCUUAUUUGCAAUUUGCUCUUUAAGAAUUAGAUUUUCUGUUCAUAUUGUGUUUAUGUUUAUGUAUUUAGCAGAUGCUUUUGUCUAGGACUUACAAGUGAUGAUCGGCAUGUUGCCCUUGAGGCUAACAACAACAAUAACAACAACUUGACAUCAAUCAUGGAGAGGAGGGAACAAAGGACUGGACGGUAGAGGGGGGGACGGGUGCUAGUUUAGAAGAUGCUCUCUGAAGAGCAGGGUCUUCUGGAGUUUCUUUAAAAUUUAAAAGGAAGCCACCGUUCUGGUAGUGCUUGGAAGGUCAUUCCACAUUUGUGGAACGAUGCAUGAGAAGAGUGGAUUGUCCUGAGCGUGGUGUAGGCACUGCUAGCCGACCAUCCUGUGAUGACCGGAGCGGCCGGGCCGAGACGUAAGCCUUUGCAAGAGGAUUCAGGUAGAUGGGAGCCGUACCAUCUCGGACUUUGUAUGCUAGUGUUAACAAUUUGAAUUUGAUGCAUGCUGCUAGCGGUAGCCAGUGGAGCUCAAUGAACAGAGGGGUGACGUGUGCUCUUUUUGGCUUAUUGAAGACCACAUGCGCCGCUGCGUUCGGGACCAUUUGAAGAGGUCUCGCAGCACAGGCUGGAAGACCAGUUAGAAGGGCAUUGCAGUAAUCGAGGUGGGAGAUGACAGUAGAUUGCACCAGGAGCUGGGUGGCAUGUUGUGUUAGGUAUGGUCUGAUCUUUCGUAUGUUAUACAGCGCAAAGCAGCAUGAACGAGCAACAGAGGCAACAUGAUCUUUAAAGGUCAGGUGUUCAUCAAUCACAACACCCAGAUUUCAAACUGCCUUUGAAGGAGCCAGAGAUAGGAAGUCAUUUUGGAUUGAGAUAUUGUGCUGUAUGGAUGGUUUUGCUGGGAUGACAAGUAAUUCAGUUUUAGAGAGGUUGAGUUGGAGAUGGUGGGAUUUCAUCCAUUUUGAUAUGUCAGAGAGACCGUUUGAUAUUCGUGUGGUCAUCCUGCGGAAAUGACAGACCUGGGUGUCGUCUGCAUAGCAGUGGUAGGAGAAGCCAUGUGAUCGAAUGAUUUCCCCCAGUGAGGUGGUGUAUAUGGCAAAGAGAAGAGGUCCUAGUACAGAGCCCUGGGGGAUUCCUGUGGCAAGAAGGUGCACGGUAGAGGAUUGUCCAAGCCAAGAUUCACUGAAUGAUCGUCCUGUGAGGUAUGAUUCAAACUAGGCGUGUGCUUUCUCUGUGAUGCCCAUGCUAGAGAUUGUGGGCAAAAGGAAGCCAUGGUUGACAGUGUCAAAUGCAGCCGAUAAGUCGAGCAGGAUAAGCACUGAGGAUUUGGCAGUCGCUCUAGCUUCUUUUAAGGAUUCCGUCACUGCUAACAGAGCAGUUUCAGUGGAGUGGCCCUUUUUGAACCCAGAUUGGUAAGGGUCAAGCAGACAGUUUUGUGAGAAGUAUCCUGUGAUCUGCUUGAAAGCCACCCUUUCAAUGAUUUUGGACAGAAAAGGGAGGAGAGAGAUAGGUCGGUAGCUCUCCACAUGAUUUGGAGGAACAGAUGUUUUUUUAGCAGCUGUUUAACCUGAGCAUGCUUGAGAGAGGUAGGAAAUGUACCAGAUAUCAGUGAAGCGUUGAUCACAUGUGUGACUGCUGUGGCUACUGUAGGAGCAAUAGCUUGGAGCAGCUUAGUCGGAAUGGGGUCAAGUGGGCAUGUUGUAGGGCGGCUGCACGUGAGAAGCUUGGGCACACAGUUCUCAGUGAGAGGAAAAAGAGGAAAAUGAAGCAGUAGGGCUUGAGACGGUUGAGCUAGAAGGAGUUUGUUGUAGAGAAUGUUCAGGAGUGGCCAGUUGAGUAAACUGUUUGUUUAUAGCUGCCACUUUGUCAGUGAAGAAUGAGGCAAAGGUGUCAGCUGAUAGAUUGUUGGUUGGAGGUGGAGAUAGAGGGUUGAGCAGAGUUUUGAAUGUUGGAAAUAGUUUCUGAGAGUCAGUAGAGCUGAGAAUUUUGUCAGUGUAGAAAGCUUUCAUUGCAUCAGUGAUGCUGGCAGAGAAUGAGGACAGUAAUUCAUGAAAUUUCAAUUGAUCACCAGGAUCUUUUGUUUUGCGCCAUUUCCGUUCCGGAGCUAUAAGAUUGGCGCUUAGAGACCAGAGGGUAUCAUUUAGCCAAGGGUGCGACUGAGAGGAUCUAGCAGGUCUAGUGGCUAAAGGGCACAAGUUGUUAAGACAAGAGCAGAGUGUGGAGCAGAGUGACUCGGUGGCAUCAUUCACUUCAUAAGCAAUGUGCUGGGAGAUGGAAGAGUGGAGACAACAAGAGAGAAGUGGUUGGGUGCCAGAUUGCGGAGGUUGCGGCGGAAUGAGACCACUGGGGAGGAAGCAGUGGACCUCCCUUGUAGUUGUGCUGAAAUGGAUGAAGUAAUGAUCGGAAAGAUGCAUCGGUGUGACAGAGAUUGUGUCUAUGGCAGUUUCUGGUGAAAAUGAGGUCAAGUGCUUUUCCAGCUUUGUGAGUUGGAGGACUUUGUACUAGUUUUAGAUCAAAUGAUGACAUUAGUGACAGGAAGUCUGAUGAGCUGGAUUUGUCCAGGGGAAUAUUCAUGUCUCCAAGGACCAUUGUGGGACAGUCAUGCUCAGGAAUGGAGGAGAGCAGGGUACCCAGUUCAUCAAGAAAGUCUACGAAUUGACCUGGUUGGCGAUAUAUGACAACCAAAAAUAAUGUUUUCGGUACAGUUACCUGGAUGGCAUGGUAUUCAAAGGAGUUGUAUUUAGUGAUGGGUAGCAACUGACUGUAUAUCCACUUGUUGGAAAUUAACAUGCCCGUUCCACCACCUCAGCCAGAUGCACGAGAAGUGUGGGAGAAAGUGUGGUUAACUGAGAGAGCAGAUGGGGUAGCAUUGUCACAUGGUUUGAUCCAGGCUUCAGUGAGAGCCAGUGCAUUGAGUGACAGGUGGUUUGCAUAUGCGGUAAUGAAGUCUGCUUUGUUUACAGCCGAUUGACAGUUCCACAGUCCCAUAGACAGGUGGAUGUCUUCAGGGGGAGUUGGUUUUAGUGAGAGGAGGUUUUGAAGGUUGCGAAAGCGGUUUGCUGUGUGUAACCUUCCUCUGAAGCCAGUGAUCACAGGUAUAGGAUAAUGGCACAUUUUGCAAGGUGUCAAUGGAGCAGCAUCUGGGUUGAGCUUGUUUGCUCUGUGGACACGCGCAGGUAGACACGUAUGUCUUUACCCCGGAGGGGCUGAGACACAAGGGCUGACGCGUCAGUUAUGCCACCAAACUUAUGCUGUGCUACUAGUUGGAAACGUGUUCAUGCAGCAGCUGAUUGAAAUAAUUGAGACCUAGAUCACCUGAUGAGUGUUUUAGGGAGGGGAGAAACAGCUCUUUCACAGACCCUGAUUGCACUUGUUGUUUUCAGUUGGCCCAAACCGGAGCUACUAGACAGGAUUACUCACAGAGGAGUUUUCUCUUUUCCCAAUGGAAGAUAGUGCUCGUUUUUGUCUUCUUAAACUUUUGCUUUGCACUAACAGACACUCAAGGCCCUUCGGUGCAGAUUCAAGUCUGUUUGGAAGUGCUUGCAGUUGCUUUUUAAGUGUGUAUGUGUAUAACUUGUAAAGUUUGAGUAGUUUAAAGACACUAUGGGAAGUAUACAUACAUAUAUGCAUUCUUGUCAGUUCUUAAAUGCAAAGAUCACUGCUACUCUCAUCAUAUUUUUGCAGGUUAUGUUGUUAUUGCCACUAAAAAUAUUGAUCCAGGAGAAUUCUUGCUGUAGUAUGUUGGAAGACAUAUCACUGGGCUGGAAGGAGAGGCCCUGUAUAAAUGUUACUAAGAUGUGGAUGCAACAUUUUUGUUUUUCUAUUGCUUCCAAGGAGAAACUUUUUGUGUUGACGGCAGUAAAGAUACGGCAAUACUUGGAAGAUUCCUAAAUGACGAUCACAUCAAGCCAAACAGCAAAGUGAAAAUAGUACUGGAUGAGCAGAAAAUACCCCACCUGUGUGCAUUUGCAAUCAAAGAAAUACUAGCAGGAGAAGAAAUUGUUUAUGACUAUGGAGACUCUUAACUGCUCAUGGCUACAGGUAUUUAUAUUUUUAUUUACAUAUACUGUUUUUAUCCAUUGCAUGUUUUAUUAUAUGCCAUUAGUCUCAAGGAUUACACCAUUGUCAUCUCUUAACAUUAGUGAAAUUGUAAAUGUGUUUUGGAAACUGGUAUGAAUGUCUUUAAAACACAUUGUAACACUUAAAAUGCUUUACAAAGCCUAUCAGUGAGUAAAAUAAAACUUACAUAUUUAAAUGUCAUACUGUAAUUGUCUGGGGUUUUUUUUUUUUGAAAACCUCUGUGUCUCCUUGUAGUGAGCGCAUGGAAAAGAAGGUGAAGCUAUGUGGAGGUUUUUUUGCCUCCAUGUCUAUACACAGAAAAAUUUCCUAUUAUGUUUAAACAAUUGUAUGCUUUUCAUAUUCUCAUGUUUUUCUAUUGUCCGAUUGUUUCUUUAAUUUUUAAGGAAUCCCGUUGGAGGAGAUUUCUCGAAAAUUUUGACUGAGCCUGGUGUGGUGAAAAUUGAUGCCUUGUAUUCAACCAAAAACAGAAGAUUGCAAAUGGAUGCAAUGCAGCAGAAGUGUUUCCAGGACUCAUUCACAACUGCCUUGUGGCAGUUAAACAAGUUUCUAAACAUAUUUCUGAAAAGGAAUUGGAAAUAGCUAAUUUUCUUUGUUCAAAAAGUUACAAACUGAACAUCUGUUGCAGCCCCUUACUGUGUUGGAAGACACAUUUUGCCUACUUCGUCUCCCUUCUCUGCGAAUAUAAUCUCAUGGAACUGAUUGAAAAUAAGGAUUUUCCUGAGAGACAAAACUUGACAGAGCAACGAAGACUACAGAUCUGCCAAGAGUUGUUGCUGGGACUUGAGGAACUGCACUCACAUGGAAUUUUGCACAGAGAUUUGAAGCCUGAAAACAUCUUGUUCGACAUCAACAAUAAACUUUAUAUUGGAGACUUUGGAGCAAGCAGGAAACUGGAUCUUGCACAGACGACGUUGUUGACGUUUUCACAAAUGGCUGGAUCCUUUUCCUGGUCCAAUUAUGAGGAUGUUGGAGGUCUAAAGUAUAGAUACAAGAAGGAAUCAGAUAUCCAAGUAGCUGGUUGCUUGCUGCAUUACAUCUUGACUGAUGGGCAACAUCCCUUUCAAAGUAGAUUACCCUACUCUGACGAUCCCAUUGGACUAUCUCAAAAUGUCAGAAUGGGCAACUUCACGCUUCAAUGUGAGGAAAAAUGGAGCAGCCAAAAAGGUAUUAUUACCAGGAUGCUAAGUAGGUCACUUGAAGAACGUCCCACCAUCGAAGAAUGUCAAGGCUGUCACGUGUAAGUACCAUAAUUUUAAAUUUAAUUUUUUAUAGAUUGGAAAACACCAUCUUAAAUCAUUUCCAUGAAAGUUGAUUAACCUUAUUUUAAAUUAUUUCAGGUUUGACACAUCAGUCUGCUGGUACUGAAACAAUGAACAAGGCUGGGAAUGAGAAUCAAAAUAAAGCAUGUUUUUACAAGUGGCUUGGGCGAUAUUAGGUUCAUUUACUGUAACACACCAACAAUUUUGCUACAGUAGAGAUUUUGUUUUACUGUUCAUUCCAAUGCCUACAUUUUCACUGUCACUUGAUAUAAGAAUCGAUCCACUAAUAUUUGUUUUUACAGAUUGGAACCCAUACAUCAAAUUGCUGUCCUCAGAAAACAGAUGAGCUAGACAUUGAUGAGGAUAAUGUCAGUGAUCAACCUGAGAUUUCUGGCAGUAUCCUGUUGACUUCAUCUUCUGUCUCAGGGGAGGACUUUUCUGAGUGUGAAAUGGUAAUUAAUGGUUUGAAUAUCUAAAGAGUGGUGAAGAAUUUCCUAACAUUGUAUGAAAUAUUGAUGCAUGUAUCAUCAUUUUAUUGACGAUAAACAAUCAGAAGAACAAAUGACAGGAAAAGAAGUCAUCUCUGGAAAACCACCGUAUAAAAUCAAACAGUCUUCACAUGAUGGUAACUCUCAACAACAUAACGUCACAGUAAAAAUGUCUUAAAACACUGCACACCAACGUGUCUAUGAUAAGAAGAAUUAUUGCCUUUACUGUGAAAAGCCGUACACAAAAAUCACAAGACAUCUGAAGCAAAAGCAGUAAGAUAAACCUGAUGUUGCCAAGGCACUUGCGCACAAGAAAGGAUCAGCCAUGCACUGCUUACUUUUGACCAAAGUAAGAAACAUGGGAAACUAAAACCACAACUGUUCUGUCCUGUCCUCUGGAAAAGGACAAAUUGUACCAAAAAGGCAAGCAACGUAUCCAUCAGGUGCAACAGACUACCUGCCUUGCAAGUUUUGUUUUGCUAUGUGCAUCAAGACCGAUCUCUGGAGACACCACAAGCAUUGUAGACUGCAAAUUAAAGAGGACAAGGCUGUGAAAAGAAGGAUUCAGGCAAGUUGUUCACUGAUGUUACCAAUGGAGAACACAGUUUCCAAUGGUCUUAAAACCGUUCUCCAGGAAAUGACAUAUGAUAAUGUAACUCCGUUAGUAAAGGCGGACACCCUUAUUAUAUCACUGGGAGAGAGAAUGUUCCUUAAAAAUGGAAAAGUUGUACGACAUCGAGCAGACAUCAGAAAUAAGAUGAGGGAACUUGCCAGACUUGUUAUUAUUGCAAGAAAUCUAGACAAGUUCAUCGUUUUUUUUGAAGGACUUGAUUUGCCCUGGAAAAUUCAACACAGUCCUUGAGGCUGUAAAACAGAUAACUGGGUUUAAUAAAUUAUCAAACAGAUUCUCAGUAUCCUCAACAGCACGUAAACUUCGCCAUUCUCUUGUAUAAGUGUCAUACAUUUUGCAAGGAGAGGCUCUGCAUCAACAGGAUGAUGAUUUAAAGUCAAAAGCAGAGCAAUAUAUCAAGCUAAUUGAACUGGAAUGGAUAACACAUGUGUCAUCCAAUGCCCUAAAAACUCUAUACCGGAAAAAAUGGAACAGCCCUCAAAUACUGCCUUUGUCAGGAGACAUAAAAAAACUUCAGGACUACCUAAAAUGCCUUGAGGUGGUCCACAAAAAAAUCUUACUGACCAACCAUCACAAAAAUCAUGGAGUGAGCUCUCUCAAAUCACUCACACAACUGAUACUGUUCAAUUGUCGUUGACAAGGUGAAGUUUCAAGAAUGGAACUCAACACAUAUUUACAGAAGAACAAACACAACAUGCAUGAUGACGUUUUGGAGAGCCUCUCGCCAUUUGAAAAAAAAAACUUUGUGAGAAUCUCAUCGGGGGGAGGUACGAGGGAAAAGAGGCCGCAAAGUACCUGUGCUGUUCCCGUUAAAUAUAAAAGAAUCUGUAGAACUUCUUAUAAAAACAAAAGAGGCUGGGAUUUCCCCCACUAAUCCCUACAUUUUUGCCCGUCCGUUUUAUGGCUCACAAGAGAGCAUUCGUGGAUGUGAUAGCUUGAAGCAGUUUGCAGAAAGCUGUGGAGCUAAACACCCGGAAAAUCUCACAUCAACAAAACUACGAAAGUAUGUAGCCACGAUUUCACAGCUCCUUAACCUGCAAAACCAUGAAUUAGACCAACUGGCCACUUUUAUGGGACAUAUGUGCAUAGGGAGUUUUACAGACUACCUGAAGAAACUCUCCAAUUGACAAAAGUCAGUAGACUUCUGUUUGCUCUGCAAGGUGCAAUGGGUAAAUUCAAGCAAAAUCCCUGGAAAACAUCACACCUAACAACUGUAAGUGAAUGAUUUAAUUUUUUUCUUAAUGUAUUAGAUAACGUAAGGUGAAAACUGUUUAAAAUAUAGGUUUAUUCACUUAAAACAUUUUAUUGCAGCUGAAAAAUAAUCAAGUGACUCAUAUGGAGAUACACAAUGUGAGGCAACUGCUACCACAUGUCAAAAAGUGCUUUUUUCAGAAAUUUCAAACGAUAGACCCUGCAAAGAGAGCACAGCUGAAUCAAAAAAGGCUACUGGGGGCAUUAAAAAAUCAUCAGUGCCAUUGAUAAAAAAGGGGAAACCCAAAAAGCCCUGGUCAGACUGAGAGAGAAGUCAUUGGCGAGCAUUUCAAGAACUUUCUAAAGGAAAUGAAAAUUCCAGGAAAAGCAGAGUGUCAAAGAUGCCUAAAUGACAAUCAGCUUCUAAGGGAUAAAGGAAGUGACUGGAAAGCAGUAAAAUAUUUUGUGCACAACAAAAUUACUGCUAUGAGGAGGUCUUUGUGCUAACAAUAACAAGACCAGUAAUCCUAAGUUCUUAAGUGUACAAACAAUUGGUCAUUUUAUGUAAUUUCAUAUGGAUCCAUCAAAUAUGCCUUCUCAAUUUGCCAACAUAAGUUACACUUUUUAAUCAGUAAAAAUUCAAUUUUUUUAAUCUAUAUUAAUAAUGCAUGUACAUCCUUGGAGACUGUACACAUUGUUGCAAUAGUUUAACACUGAGCUUUAAGAGGUUAAACAGUACUCUCCCCGAGUUAUCCUUUGAAUUCCAGAGAAACUGGUGACUCCUAUUUACCUCAUGCAUUUUUCUUUACUUAUUAUUUUCAGUAACACAUUGUCUUCAUAUCUACAAUAGUUAAAUAUUGCUUCACUUUUUUAUUUGCAUUUCACAAUUUAAAUAGCAGUGACAACAUUGCCAAUUUGUAAAGUAACACUGCACAUUAGCUGCAUAUAUUUUAAAUAUUUUCUUAUGUUUUCCAUUUAGCUUGUUUCUUUUUAAUUACCUACCCUCGAAUGUGUAUAUCGCUCUAUGUUAACUGAGUGGGAAAUUGUGUAAUUGGCCGUGUUCGAGUUGAGCUGCGCCUCGCCUGGAAAACAGAUGAGAGCAGACGGAAGCAGCAGGGGGAGUGGCUGAAAGCCGGCGUUUAAUGGGCUCGACACACGGGAGGCGACAAACGACCGCGAUCAGCGAAAUUUGUCACUGUCGCUUUUAUGACCUGUCACACGGGAGGCGAUCUGUGGCAGCGGCCAGCGGCAAAACCGUCUACGCGUUCUGUUCCAUGGCGAAAUCGAAACUUCCGUUGAUCUGUUUGGCUGUGUCAGGCUGGAGGGAAUUAAGGUUAUUUAAGCGGUUCAGAGUUAAUAAAGUGGUAGAUAUGAUGUUUCACAAGUUGCUGCUAGAGUUAUGUGAAAUCUUACUUGUGAUUUUACUAUAUAAAACAUAAUAAUAAUCAACUUCUCCCCCAUGUUUGCUCGGAGAUUUACGGAGCAUCCUGCCCGCUCAUUGGUCAGUGAAUGAAACCUCCGUUGAUUGGUCCUCGCCCGAGCGACAGCGAUGAAAAGUUGAAGAUGUUUCAACUUUCUGGGAUCGCGUCGCUGGGUCGUCCAUGCACGACACGUGCACGAGUGCAAACUUUCACACGCACGUUUUUCGCGUUUCGCUUGGUAGGACAGAGACCCGCGAUUAUCGCUUUGUCGCGCAUGUCUCAUUGAAAAUGAAUGGAGGAGAGGCGAUGUCGCCUCCCGUGUGUCGGGCCCAUAAGUCAGACACAAUUUCCUGCAUGUGUAGCUCGCGGGUGACGAUGGCUGAAGAUAUCGCGUUAGCGUUCAUAAUAGCGGAUGGAAUAGAUUCAGAUGAAAUACCUAUUCUUCUACAUGAAAAUGGAUAUCUACUGCAAAGGUAGGUAACCGCAUUAAAGUAGUACAAUGCCAAAUACAACCGCCAUGUGCAUUUGUUUCUUUGUUUAAGAUCUAAAAACUCAUUUGGAAAUAGUCCAAAAGUUAAACAAGGCUGCAGAUUUCACCUUUGAAGAUACUUCUUCAGAUGUAAAUUAGAAUAAUAAUGUGCAUAUAAUUUCUUUCAGGUCUGAGCCAAAAGUGAAACACUUUGUUGAGAAUGUUAUUCCUUUAUACCGUCAUUCUGACUUUAAAAGCCACUUCAGACUUUCCAGAGGACAAGUGGAGGAUCUAGUGAUGGCACUGGGACCAUUCCACAUGGACAGACAGCACACCAAAUUACCCCUGUCCAAAAGUGUUCUUGCCUGUCUGUGGACGCUGGCAUAGAGCCCUGCACGGGCCUAAAAUCUGAGCCCGUGUCCGGCCCGGCCCGAGGGGGUGGAGCCCCAGCCCGACCCGGCCCGAAAAGCCGUCUCCAGUUGGCCAAUUCUGGCCUUGUAAGUGACUCCAAUGCAGUGGUCCUGCGCUCAGCAUGUGCCUCAUUGGACUGAAAAAAUGCUGGGAGAUGAGCAGUCUUGCUUCUCUUAGAGCCAGAAGCUUGUCUGUCCUGUAUGGCCGAUGACGGACCAGGUUGCUCUUCGGUUUCAGCAGGUGAUUGCUGAGCCAGCCGCUGAAGGAUGGGCUUCUUUAGGAAAGAGGGGAGUUGAAACAGUUGUGCCAGGUGGUGCACUUCCCACCGCUGUGCGACCAAAAUGUUCAUCCAUUUGCAGACAGAAGAGGGAUAAACAAUUUUCAUUAGUUAUUGUAGAACUUUACUGAUGGUGGAACUUAUCAUGACAUUUGUUUCUUCAUUAAAGCUUAUGGUGACAUAACCAAUAACUGUGGCUAUGUCUCCAUUCAACAUUGAGAACUCAACAAACUGAGAAAGCUUUCUGGAAUGAGAGGGUGAAAUGUUGUUAAAGAAAUAACAUAAUCCAGUUGCUGUUUGACAACCUGUUUUAAAAUAACUAUGACCUGGAUGACUGAGAACUCCACAGAUCUCAAUAAACUCAGCAAUUGAUCGAGUGUGACUGUUACAUCCCCAACAUGUGUUGGUAAAAAUGUGAAGGAUGGGGGUAAAAUAAUAACUGGCGGAGGAGUUUAAAAUGGGUUUAUUUGAACAAAAAGGUAUUAAAACCACAAGCAAAGAGAUCUCUCUAAAAGGUUAACAUUACAAAGCAAAUUAUCAACUAUAAAACACCUGGUAAAAUCUUAUAUUAAAAGCUUUACCACAACGAAAGGUGUUUAAAAACGAGUUCAGUAAAAUUGCCACAAACAAAGUUAACCUUUUAAAAACCGAACACACAAAAGAUCCCACUGGAUCAUCCACUCUUUCUCAAUAAGAGUUAAAAACUACAAAAGUUCCACACUCAAACAAAUCCAGACGAAAAGGGGUUGAAACUACACAAAACCUGGAGGACAGCAGAACCCCUGCACUGCUGCAUCCCAGACUGCUGAAAGCACAGCCCUUUUUAUACAGGUGUUGGCUCAUCAUGAUGAUUUCUUGCAGCUGUGCUCCUCAGCAGUGUUGCCAACUGUUUUUGACUGAAAGUAGCUGAAGUUCCCCCCAAAAGUCACUAGACGUCGCCAGAUGACGUCACGUGCUAAUUUACAUAUUGAUGACGUCAUCACGCCACAUUAGCGUUCGUUUUCCCAUAGCAUCUUUAUAUAUACAUAUACACACACAC